rnacentral:rRNA from 1 species
UACGGAGGGGGCAAGCGUUAUUCGGAAUUAUUGGGCGUAAAGGGCGCGUAGGCGGCCUUGCAAGUGGAAGGUGAAAUCCCUCGGCUUAACCGAGGAACUGCCCUCCAAACUGCUUGGCUUGAGUCCGGGAGAGGUGAGUGGAAUUCCCAGUGUAGCGGUGAAAUGCGUAGAUAUCGGGAGGAACACCAGUGGCGAAGGCGGCUUCCUGGCCUGUUCUUGACGCUGAGGCGCGAAAGCUAGGGGAGCAAACGGG